rnacentral:rRNA from 1 species
CGGAGGGUGCAAGCGUUAUCCGGAUUCACUGGGUUUAAAGGGUGCGUAGGUGGGCAGGUAAGUCAGUGGUGAAAUCUCCGGGCUUAACCCGGAAACUGCCAUUGAUACUAUCUGUCUUGAAUACCGUGGAGGUGAGCGGAAUAUGUCAUGUAGCGGUGAAAUGCUUAGAUAUGACAUAGAACACCAAUUGCGAAGGCAGCUCACUACGCGAAUAUUGACACUGAGGCACGAAAGCGUGGGAUCAAACAGGAUU